ACCGCGGAAGUGGCUCUGAAGGUCAAAACCAGAGCGCCACUAGCCGAAUCAUGAUUCAGCCAACGUAAUCAUAAAUAUCACGAAGCUAGAAAAAAUCCGUGACAGUGACUCUUAAACGCAAGCCACACAAAUUGAACGAAAAUGAUUUAUGAACCACUUCGAAGCGGUUCUACCGUGAAUUCCAAUUCUGCGUCGAUCUUGUCAAUGCUUAUCACCAUAUAAACUGUGUCACUGUAGGAAUCGUCGAAAUGUAGGUUAUCAGUAUGGCGUUGAGUGUGUAUUUUCACAACGCACAGCAUCUUUCACAGUGUGAUAAUGGCCAGUAUAGUCCAGUUCGCUUCUAUCGCCUGGGUGCCUAUCUGUAUGCUGAAAUUUCUUCGGUUCAGUCCGCUGUUAGCCUGCACGUUGGACAGCUGAGCAGAGCACCUAGAUCUCCAGAUGGCACUGGCGCUGCUGGGACGGAUUCCGGCAACCCUUGCGGAGAGGACUGCAUCCAUCGGGCCCUUUACAACAUGUGCAUCUGUGUGACCUGCCCGGGGGGCAGCAGGAUUUGUGCAAUGCAGAGCCACAGCAUUCCGGCCAGAUGAUCCAACCAAACAGAUCAAUCCCAUCCGAACGUCGUCAUCGCAGUAGCAAGAGCAAUAAAUGUAGAGCGGAAUAAGUGCUCCUUGUUAGUGUCAA